GGGUUGUGAGGUUAAGCGACUAAGCGUACACGGUGGAUGCCCUGGCAGUCAGAGGCGAUGAAGGACGUGCUAAUCUGCGAUAAGCGUCGGUAAGGUGAUAUGAACCGUUAUAACCGGCGAUUUCCGAAUGGGGAAACCCAGUGUGUUUCGACACACUAUCAUUAACUGAAUCCAUAGGUUAAUGAGGCGAACCGGGGGAACUGAAACAUCUAAGUACCCCGAGGAAAAGAAAUCAACCGAGAUUCCCCCAGUAGCGGCGAGCGAACGGGGAGCAGCCCAGAGCCUGAAUCAGUGUGUGUGUUAGUGGAAGCGUCUGGAAAGGCGCGCGAUACAGGGUGACAGCCCCGUACACAAAAAUGCACAUAUUGUGAGCUCGAUGAGUAGGGCGGGACACGUGGUAUCCUGUCUGAAUAUGGGGGGACCAUCCUCCAAGGCUAAAUACUCCUGACUGACCGAUAGUGAACCAGUACCGUGAGGGAAAGGCGAAAAGAACCCCGGCGAGGGGAGUGAAAAAGAACCUGAAACCGUGUACGUACAAGCAGUGGGAGCACGCUUAGGCGUGUGACUGCGUACCUUUUGUAUAAUGGGUCAGCGACUUAUAUUCUGUAGCAAGGUUAACCGAAUAGGGGAGCCGAAGGGAAACCGAGUCUUAACUGGGCGUUAAGUUGCAGGGUAUAGACCCGAAACCCGGUGAUCUAGCCAUGGGCAGGUUGAAGGUUGGGUAACACUAACUGGAGGACCGAACCGACUAAUGUUGAAAAAUUAGCGGAUGACUUGUGGCUGGGGGUGAAAGGCCAAUCAAACCGGGAGAUAGCUGGUUCUCCCCGAAAGCUAUUUAGGUAGCGCCUCGUGAAUUCAUCUCCGGGGGUAGAGCACUGUUUCGGCAAGGGGGUCAUCCCGACUUACCAACCCGAUGCAAACUGCGAAUACCGGAGAAUGUUAUCACGGGAGACACACGGCGGGUGCUAACGUCCGUCGUGAAGAGGGAAACAACCCAGACCGCCAGCUAAGGUCCCAAAGUCAUGGUUAAGUGGGAAACGAUGUGGGAAGGCCCAGACAGCCAGGAUGUUGGCUUAGAAGCAGCCAUCAUUUAAAGAAAGCGUAAUAGCUCACUGGUCGAGUCGGCCUGCGCGGAAGAUGUAACGGGGCUAAACCAUGCACCGAAGCUGCGGCAGCGACACUAUGUGUUGUUGGGUAGGGGAGCGUUCUGUAAGCCUGCGAAGGUGUGCUGUGAGGCAUGCUGGAGGUAUCAGAAGUGCGAAUGCUGACAUAAGUAACGAUAAAGCGGGUGAAAAGCCCGCUCGCCGGAAGACCAAGGGUUCCUGUCCAACGUUAAUCGGGGCAGGGUGAGUCGACCCCUAAGGCGAGGCCGAAAGGCGUAGUCGAUGGGAAACAGGUUAAUAUUCCUGUACUUGGUGUUACUGCGAAGGGGGGACGGAGAAGGCUAUGUUGGCCGGGCGACGGUUGUCCCGGUUUAAGCGUGUAGGCUGGUUUUCCAGGCAAAUCCGGAAAAUCAAGGCUGAGGCGUGAUGACGAGGCACUACGGUGCUGAAGCAACAAAUGCCCUGCUUCCAGGAAAAGCCUCUAAGCAUCAGGUAACAUCAAACCGUACCCCAAACCGACACAGGUGGUCAGGUAGAGAAUACCAAGGCGCUUGAGAGAACUCGGGUGAAGGAACUAGGCAAAAUGGUGCCGUAACUUCGGGAGAAGGCACGCUGAUAUGUAGGUGAAGCGACUUGCUCGUGGAGCUGAAAUCAGUCGAAGAUACCAGCUGGCUGCAACUGUUUAUUAAAAACACAGCACUGUGCAAACACGAAAGUGGACGUAUACGGUGUGACGCCUGCCCGGUGCCGGAAGGUUAAUUGAUGGGGUCAGCGCAAGCGAAGCUCUUGAUCGAAGCCCCGGUAAACGGCGGCCGUAACUAUAACGGUCCUAAGGUAGCGAAAUUCCUUGUCGGGUAAGUUCCGACCUGCACGAAUGGCGUAAUGAUGGCCAGGCUGUCUCCACCCGAGACUCAGUGAAAUUGAACUCGCUGUGAAGAUGCAGUGUACCCGCGGCAAGACGGAAAGACCCCGUGAACCUUUACUAUAGCUUGACACUGAACAUUGAGCCUUGAUGUGUAGGAUAGGUGGGAGGCUUUGAAGUGUGGACGCCAGUCUGCAUGGAGCCGACCUUGAAAUACCACCCUUUAAUGUUUGAUGUUCUAACGUGGACCCGUAAUCCGGGUUGCGGACAGUGUCUGGUGGGUAGUUUGACUGGGGCGGUCUCCUCCUAAAGAGUAACGGAGGAGCACGAAGGUUGGCUAAUCCUGGUCGGACAUCAGGAGGUUAGUGCAAUGGCAUAAGCCAGCUUGACUGCGAGCGUGACGGCGCGAGCAGGUGCGAAAGCAGGUCAUAGUGAUCCGGUGGUUCUGAAUGGAAGGGCCAUCGCUCAACGGAUAAAAGGUACUCCGGGGAUAACAGGCUGAUACCGCCCAAGAGUUCAUAUCGACGGCGGUGUUUGGCACCUCGAUGUCGGCUCAUCACAUCCUGGGGCUGAAGUAGGUCCCAAGGGUAUGGCUGUUCGCCAUUUAAAGUGGUACGCGAGCUGGGUUUAGAACGUCGUGAGACAGUUCGGUCCCUAUCUGCCGUGGGCGCUGGAGAACUGAGGGGGGCUGCUCCUAGUACGAGAGGACCGGAGUGGACGCAUCACUGGUGUUCGGGUUGUCAUGCCAAUGGCACUGCCCGGUAGCUAAAUGCGGAAGAGAUAAGUGCUGAAAGCAUCUAAGCACGAAACUUGCCCCGAGAUGAGUUCUCCCUGACUCCUUGAGAGUCCUGAAGGAACGUUGAAGACGACGACGUUGAUAGGCCGGGUGUGUAAGCGCAGCGAUGCGUUGAGCUAACCGGUACUAAUGAACCGUGAGGCUUAACCUUACAACGCCGAAGCUGUU
rnacentral:rRNA from 1 species